CAUGCAUGUCUAAGUAUAAAUUCUUGUACGAUGAAACUGCAGACGGCUCAAUACAACAGUGAUAAACUGCUAGACUUUCGGGUUUUUAACCUUUUGGAUAACCGCAGUAAAUCGGGGCUAAUACAUAGAAGCGAUGGGUGACUGGCAACGGAAGCUCAGCGAUUAUUAGCAUUACUACCAAUACCUUCGGGUCUUGUGGUGAAACCGAAUAAUAUUGCAGAUCGAGGAUUUAUCUUCGACAAGUCUACUGUGUCACUGCCCUAUCAACUUUCGAUGGUACGGUAUUGGCCUACCAUGGUUGUAACGGGUAACGGGGAAUUAGGGUUCGAUUCCGGAGAGGGAGCCUGAGAAAUGGCUACCACUUCUACGGAAGGCAGCAGGCGCGCAAAUUACUCAAUCCCAAUACGGGGAAGUAGUGACAAUAAAUAUCAAUACCUAUCCUUUUUGGAGGGCAAUUGAAAUGAACACAAAUUAAAACUCUUAAUUAACACAAUUGGAGGGCAAGUCUGGUGCCAGCAGCCGCGGUAAUUCCAGCUCCAAUAGCAUAUACUAAAGUUGUUGCAGUUAAAAAGCUCGUAGUUGAAGUUAAAGUUAUAUUGGGCUAAAGUUUUUUACCACUAUGUGGCUAAAAUAACUCCAAUAUUUCUUUUUUUAAUAGCUCAGUUUCUAGGUCUUUGACUCUAGUUAUUUGGGCAUUUCACUGUGAGAAAAUUGUGGUGUUUAAAGCAGGCGUCUCGUCUGAUCUUUUGCAGCAUGGGUAUGAUGGAACAUGACAUUUUACG
rnacentral:rRNA from 1 species